AAAUCUGUAUCCAGAAGCAACUUUGUCCACCAACCUGGUCUAUCCUUCUUCCUACUGUCCUAAAGAAAUCAGAGGGAACUGAAAACCAAGAAGGGUGGUCUCCAAGGUGGAUUCUGCCCAUCUUUUCCCCCUUGAACCACUGGAAUUGAAACCCAUGGGAUUUUUGCAAAGUAAGUAUGUAAAUUUACACAGACAGAUGUGCAAAGUUUUUGCACCUGCUCCGACACCCUUUCCCUUCCUUUCUCUCCUCCCUCCUUCCCUCACUGCAGAGGAGUUCUGGGAUUCCCUGGCUUCGUAGCAGAGGGCUGCCUGAAACCUGCAAAGAUUUGGGGGGGUUCUGAAAUUCCUGGGUGAGGUCUGUGAAGGAGAUCAGCUGCCUGCAUCUUUUGUGGGAAGAUAUAAGAGAGAAUAGGGACCUUUGCGUGAAGCACUCUGUCAGCUCAAGUCAGUGAUGAAAGUCCUAUUGAAAAGAGCCCCAGAUCAAAUCAAAACCUGAUUUCCUAAGACUGACAUUGCCUGCAAAUGGAGGCAGAUUGAGGUCCGUAGCUGGCCAGUGCUUUGGACGCAUUCUGCUUACUUUAGUCACACAAAAUGACGUAUUGAUGUAAGCUUCCAGGAUCCAAACAGGCAGCCCUUUCAUAGGCAAAAGCCCUAAUGAAGUCACUGGCAAGCAGCCUUGCUGGCCUACGGCCUGCAGGCUAUUUCCCUAGUCAAUACACUGGACCUAAUCUUAUACCCCUUGAGCAUCAAACUCCAUGUGUAUUUUCCAGAAGUAUUUGUUCUCUUUCUGCAAAAGUGCAAGAUUUGUGUGCUGGAGAGAGCAGUGUCAGCGAGCAGCUGCUUUUCCUUCAGCGUGAGUUGCUUAGUAUAUCGACUUUAUUCGCUACUAGUUGGGCAAAACCAAACUGCAAAGCUGAGACAUGGAACAGCAAGAAACUGGACUGCCAAAUCAAAAUCUCCUGUUUAGAAGGCAGGCUGCUGAGGCACCGGGUACCUGCUGGUGCGCCAGUUUGGGAAUGA
rnacentral:lncRNA from 1 species